rnacentral:rRNA from 1 species
GACGAACGCUGGCGGCGUGCCUAAUACAUGCAAGUCGAGCGAAUCUGAGGGAGCUUGCUCCCAAAGAUUAGCGGCGGACGGGUGAGUAACACGUGGGCAACCUGCCUGUAAGACUGGGAUAACUUCGGGAAACCGGAGCUAAUACCGGAUAAAUCUUAUCAACACAUGUUGAUAAGCUAAAAGACGGCGUAAGCUGUCACUUACAGAUGGGCCCGCGGCGCAUUAGCUAGUUGGUAAGGUAAUGGCUUACCAAGGCAACGAUGCGUAGCCGACCUGAGAGGGUGAUCGGCCACACUGGGACUGAGACACGGCCCAGACUCCUACGGGUGGCAG